UGGCACCUUCGGGGCAGGGUGAGCCCGCACCGUGAUGUGCGUGGCAAUUCCCGACCGGCGGUAUGUUCGGCGAUGACCGAACGAGCCCGCGACCCGCGCAAGCGGUGGAUCCGGUGAGAGGCCGGAGCCGACGGUAUAGUCCGGAUGGGAGAAGGUGGAG
rfam:Ardenticatena maritima DNA, contig: NODE_60, strain: 110S.